rnacentral:rRNA from 1 species
GUUAAGCGACUAAGCGUACACGGUGGAUGCCCUGGCAGUCAGAGGCGAUGAAGGACGUGCUAAUCUGCGAUAAGCGUCGGUAAGGUGAUAUGAACCGUUAUAACCGGCGAUUUCCGAAUGGGGAAACCCAGUGUGUUUCGACACACUAUCAUUAACUGAAUCCAUAGGUUAAUGAGGCGAACCGGGGGAACUGAAACAUCUAAGUACCCCGAGGAAAAGAAAUCAACCGAGAUUCCCCCAGUAGCGGCGAGCGAACGGGGAGCAGCCCAGAGCCUGAAUCAGUAUGUGUGUUAGUGGAAGCGUCUGGAAAGGCGCGCGAUACAGGGUGACAGCCCCGUACACAAAAAUGCACAUGCUGUGAGCUCGAUGAGUAGGGCGGGACACGUGGUAUCCUGUCUGAAUAUGGGGGGACCAUCCUCCAAGGCUAAAUACUCCUGACUGACCGAUAGUGAACCAGUACCGUGAGGGAAAGGCGAAAAGAACCCCGGCGAGGGGAGUGAAAAAGAACCUGAAACCGUGUACGUACAAGCAGUGGGAGCACGCUUAGGCGUGUGACUGCGUACCUUUUGUAUAAUGGGUCAGCGACUUAUAUUCUGUAGCAAGGUUAACCGAAUAGGGGAGCCGAAGGGAAACCGAGUCUUAACUGGGCGUUAAGUUGCAGGGUAUAGACCCGAAACCCGGUGAUCUAGCCAUGGGCAGGUUGAAGGUUGGGUAACACUAACUGGAGGACCGAACCGACUAAUGUUGAAAAAUUAGCGGAUGACUUGUGGCUGGGGGUGAAAGGCCAAUCAAACCGGGAGAUAGCUGGUUCUCCCCGAAAGCUAUUUAGGUAGCGCCUCGUGAAUUCAUCUCCGGGGGUAGAGCACUGUUUCGGCAAGGGGGUCAUCCCGACUUACCAACCCGAUGCAAACUGCGAAUACCGGAGAAUGUUAUCACGGGAGACACACGGCGGGUGCUAACGUCCGUCGUGAAGAGGGAAACAACCCAGACCGCCAGCUAAGGUCCCAAAGUCAUGGUUAAGUGGGAAACGAUGUGGGAAGGCCCAGACAGCCAGGAUGUUGGCUUAGAAGCAGCCAUCAUUUAAAGAAAGCGUAAUAGCUCACUGGUCGAGUCGGCCUGCGCGGAAGAUGUAACGGGGCUAAACCAUGCACCGAAGCUGCGGCAGCGACGCUGAUGCGUUGUUGGGUAGGGGAGCGUUCUGUAAGCCUGCGAAGGUGUGCUGUGAGGCAUGCUGGAGGUAUCAGAAGUGCGAAUGCUGACAUAAGUAACGAUAAAGCGGGUGAAAAGCCCGCUCGCCGGAAGACCAAGGGUUCCUGUCCAACGUUAAUCGGGGCAGGGUGAGUCGACCCCUAAGGCGAGGCCGAAAGGCGUAGUCGAUGGGAAACAGGUUAAUAUUCCUGUACUUGGUGUUACUGCGAAGGGGGGACGGAGAAGGCUAUGUUGGCCGGGCGACGGUUGUCCCGGUUUAAGCGUGUAGGCUGGUUUUCCAGGCAAAUCCGGAAAAUCAAGGCUGAGGCGUGAUGACGAGGCACUACGGUGCUGAAGCAACAAAUGCCCUGCUUCCAGGAAAAGCCUCUAAGCAUCAGGUAACAUCAAAUCGUACCCCAAACCGACACAGGUGGUCAGGUAGAGAAUACCAAGGCGCUUGAGAGAACUCGGGUGAAGGAACUAGGCAAAAUGGUGCCGUAACUUCGGGAGAAGGCACGCUGAUAUGUAGGUGAAGUCCCUCGCGGAUGGAGCUGAAAUCAGUCGAAGAUACCAGCUGGCUGCAACUGUUUAUUAAAAACACAGCACUGUGCAAACACGAAAGUGGACGUAUACGGUGUGACGCCUGCCCGGUGCCGGAAGGUUAAUUGAUGGGGUUAGCGCAAGCGAAGCUCUUGAUCGAAGCCCCGGUAAACGGCGGCCGUAACUAUAACGGUCCUAAGGUAGCGAAAUUCCUUGUCGGGUAAGUUCCGACCUGCACGAAUGGCGUAAUGAUGGCCAGGCUGUCUCCACCCGAGACUCAGUGAAAUUGAACUCGCUGUGAAGAUGCAGUGUACCCGCGGCAAGACGGAAAGACCCCGUGAACCUUUACUAUAGCUUGACACUGAACAUUGAGCCUUGAUGUGUAGGAUAGGUGGGAGGCUUUGAAGUGUGGACGCCAGUCUGCAUGGAGCCGACCUUGAAAUACCACCCUUUAAUGUUUGAUGUUCUAACGUUGACCCGUAAUCCGGGUUGCGGACAGUGUCUGGUGGGUAGUUUGACUGGGGCGGUCUCCUCCUAAAGAGUAACGGAGGAGCACGAAGGUUGGCUAAUCCUGGUCGGACAUCAGGAGGUUAGUGCAAUGGCAUAAGCCAGCUUGACUGCGAGCGUGACGGCGCGAGCAGGUGCGAAAGCAGGUCAUAGUGAUCCGGUGGUUCUGAAUGGAAGGGCCAUCGCUCAACGGAUAAAAGGUACUCCGGGGAUAACAGGCUGAUACCGCCCAAGAGUUCAUAUCGACGGCGGUGUUUGGCACCUCGAUGUCGGCUCAUCACAUCCUGGGGCUGAAGUAGGUCCCAAGGGUAUGGCUGUUCGCCAUUUAAAGUGGUACGCGAGCUGGGUUUAGAACGUCGUGAGACAGUUCGGUCCCUAUCUGCCGUGGGCGCUGGAGAACUGAGGGGGGCUGCUCCUAGUACGAGAGGACCGGAGUGGACGCAUCACUGGUGUUCGGGUUGUCAUGCCAAUGGCACUGCCCGGUAGCUAAAUGCGGAAGAGAUAAGUGCUGAAAGCAUCUAAGCACGAAACUUGCCCCGAGAUGAGUUCUCCCUGACUCCUUGAGAGUCCUGAAGGAACGUUGAAGACGACGACGUUGAUAGGCCGGGUGUGUAAGCGCAGCGAUGCGUUGAGCUAACCGGUACUAAUGAACCGUGAGGCUUAACCUU